rnacentral:rRNA from 1 species
GAUGAACGCUAGCUACAGGCUUAACACAUGCAAGUCGUGGGGCAUCAUGAUGUAGUAAUACAUUGAUGGCGACCGGCGCACGGGUGAGUAACGCGUAUCCAACCUACCCUCCACUCAAGUAUAGGCUUCCGAAAGGGAGAUUAAUCCUUGAUAUCGUCAUUCUCUCUCCUGUUAGAAUGAUAAAAGGACAUCGUUUCGGUAGAGGAUGGGGAUGCGUUCCAUUAGGUAGUAGGUGGUUUAACAGGCCACCUAGCCGAUGAUGGAUAGGGGUUCUGAGAGGAAUGUCCCCCACACUGGUACUGAGAUACGGACCAGACUCCUACGGGAGGCAGCAGUGAGGAAUAUUGGUCAAUGGGCGCAAGCCUGAACCAGCCAUGUAGCGUGAAGGAUGACGGUUUUUUUGAUUGUAAACUUCUUUUCUGUGGGAUUAAAGUGUGGCAUUUAUGCCAUAUUGCAGUAUCUCAGGAAUAAG